rnacentral:rRNA from 1 species
AUUGAACGCUGGCGGCAUGCCUUACACAUGCAAGUCGAACGGCAGCGGACCUUCGGGUGCCGGCGAGUGGCGAACGGGUGAGUAAUAUAUCGGAACGUACCUUUCAGUGGGGGAUAACGUAGCGAAAGUUACGCUAAUACCGCAUAUUCUGUGAGCAGGAAAGCAGGGGAUCGCAAGAUCUUGCGCUGAUUGAGCGGCCGAUAUCAGAUUAGCUAGUUGGUGAGGUAAAGGCUCACCAAGGCGACGAUCUGUAGCGGGUCUGAGAGGAUGAUCCGCCACACUGGAACUGAGACACGGUCCAGACUCCUACGGGAGGCAGCAGUGGGGAAUUUUGGACAAUGGGCGCAAGCCUGAUCCAGCCAUGCCGCGUGAGUGAAGAAGGCCUCGG